rnacentral:rRNA from 1 species
AAGGUCCGUUGGAGACUACGACGUUGAUAGGCGGGGUGUGGAAGCGCAGUAAUGUGUGAAGCUAACCCGUACUAAUUGACCGUGAGGCUUGACCAUAUAACACCCAAG